UGGAGGACUGAGAAGGUUGAGCAGCCUGUACUGUGCUGUUAUAACUGGUUAUAGCCUCCAACAGCAACAGACAAACAAACAACUUUGUACUUGGUUCUGUCUCUAUCAGAGCUGAUUUUUGUGUUUGUGAACAAAUG